CCUCCUUUCUAAGGAUGAAUAAAAGUAAAAUUUUAUUCUAAAUAAUAUACAGGUUAAUGUUGACCGUCCUCGUUUCUCUUCUUAAAUUAGUGUUUCCAUCUUGUAGGGCCGGUAGCUCAGUUGGUUAGAGCACACCCUUGAUAAGGGUGGGGUCGAAAGUUCGAGUCUUUCUCGGCCCACCAAAUUAAUGGGGGAUUAGCUCAGCUGGGAGAGCGCCUGAUUUGCAUUCAGGAGGUCAGCGGUUCGAUCCCGCUAUCCUCCACCAGGAAACAUUUAGCUAUUUUUUUUGUGAAUAUUUAAUAAUUUAUAUCAAUAUCUAUAUCCGAACACUAAUUUGUUUAUUAAUGUUCAAAUAAAAAAUUUGAUUCAACACAGAAUUUUUUUCUGUGCAUAAAUCAAGCGUUUAAGGGCGUGUGGCGGAUGCCUUGGCACUGAAAGCCGAUGAAGGACGUGGUAUACUGCGAUAAGUUACGGGGAGCUGUAUGCAAGUUUUGAUCCGUAGAUUCCG
rnacentral:misc_RNA from 1 species